UGAUACCUAGGGGGGCAGCAGUGGGGAAUAUUGCACAGUGGGCGAAAGCCUGAUGCAGCAACGCCGCGUGAGCGAUGAAGGCCUUCGGGUCGUAAAGCUCUGUCCUCAAGGAAGAUAAUGACGGUACUUGAGGAGGAAGCCCCGGCUAACUACGUGCCAGCAGCCGCGGUAAUACGUAGGGGGCUAGCGUUAUCCGGAAUUACUGGGCGUAAAGGGUGCGUAGGUGGUUUCUUAAGUCAGAGGUGAAAGGCUACGGCUCAACCGUAGUAAGCCUUUGAAACUGGGGGACUUGAGUGCAGGAGAGG
rnacentral:rRNA from 1 species